rnacentral:misc_RNA from 1 species
GAUGAAGAACGUAGCGAAAUGCGAUAAGUAAUGCGAAUUGCAGAAUCCGUGAGUCAUCGAAUCUUCGAACGCACAUUGCGCCCUUUGGUAUUCCGAAGGGCAUGCCUGUUCGAGCGUCAUUAUCACCCCUCAAGCCCCGGCUUGGUGUUGGGCUCUCGGUGGUCGUCUCCGACCACCCGUCUCAAAGAUAGUGACGGCGUCCCAGAGGGAACCGGUACGAGGAGCUUUCACGAGCAUGUACGCGGGACGACUCUGCGGGCGACGGUCUUAUUUACUUUAUAUACAAGUGUUGACCUCGGAUCAGGUAGGAAUACCCGCUGAACUUAAGCAUAUCAAUAAGCGGAGGA